rnacentral:ncRNA from 1 species
CUGCGGACUUAAUUGAAUUGAGCCUUGGUAUGGAAACCUACUAAGUGGUAGCUUCCAAAUUCAGAGAAACCCUGGAAUGAGAAAUGGGCAAUCCUGAGCCAAAUCCUGUUUAAAGAAAACAAGGGUUCCUAGAAAGCGGGAAGGAUAGGUGCAGAGACUCAACGGAAGCUGUUCCAACAAAUGGAGUUGACCUCGUCGGUAGAGGAAGAAAUCCAUAUAUAGGACUCCGGAAGGGAUGAUCCUAUGUAUUGGUAUUGAAUUGAAAUAUUCAACGAUUAAUUACGACCCGGAUCCUUUAUAUUACACAUUUCAAAAUUCUUGUGAAUCGAUCCCAAGUUGAAGGAAGAAAUAUUCAUUGAUCAAAUCAUUCACUCCAGAGUCUGAUAGAUUAUUUGAAAAAAUGAUUGAUCGGACUAGAAUAGAAUAAAGAUAGAGUCCCAUUCUACAUGUCAAUCCCGG